rnacentral:lncRNA from 1 species
AAAAUGUUUCAUUUUUAUUUUGGUAGCAUGGCAUUUGUUUGCAUUUUGAACAAGGGUCGUACAAAGUAUCUUUAUUUCAAACCACUUUCCAGGAAGUUAUUCGUUGCAAGUAUCGUUUGUUAUUUUAUUAAUUAUAAAUUAGUUAAAUCGAGAGUACAUUCCUUAUUGAAAGGUUCGGUAACCCAAAACAAGAGUCACAUGCUGUCUUUAGAUACAUAUUCAAAUUUUAUGUCUACUCGAAUUCCCUAAUUUCUGUCUAUUUACAUAAUCUUUAGAACCGUGGCUUGUAUGAAUGUGCUGAAGCUGAUUGUUAUUAUAAUAAUAAACAAGGCUUAGUAAUUUAGAUUUAAGGGAGUUCGCUUCUCAGUUUCAAAAUAAUUAGCUUUUUCAAACCCUAAUUGAUAGGGGGUUAAUAAAGAAAAUCAAAAUUGCCAAAAAAUAUAUAAGGGUCAAUGUGCUUGUUUUCGAGAUAUUAACCAUUGAAAUUUUGGCGGGAAAAUAUUCUCUCUUGACUUUUCAUAGCAAGUUGAAGUUCUUAAAAACUCUUAAACAAUAAUUAAAUUUUCAUAAGACUUUUACAGAUGGCUUAUCAUUAUACAUGUACAAGAUUUAUAAAAAGAAAUAUAGGGGUCAAUGAGCAGUUUUUUGUAAGGCAUUCAAAUGGAUAAACCAGAGGAUUCCGAAAAUCUGACAAAAAUCUCUUAACAUGACAGGCA